AUUGAACGCUGGCGGCAUGCCUUACACAUGCAAGUCGAACGGUAACAGGUCUUCGGAUGCUGACGAGUGGCGAACGGGUGAGUAAUACAUCGGAACGUGCCCGAGAGUGGGGGAUAACGAGGCGAAAGCUUUGCUAAUACCGCAUACGAUCUCAGGAUGAAAGCAGGGGACCGCAAGGCCUUGCGCUCACGGAGCGGCCGAUGGCAGCUUAGGUAGUUGGUGGGAUAAAAGCUUACCAAGCCGACGAUCUGUAGCUGGUCUGAGAGGACGACCAGACACACUGGGAACGAGAAACGGCCCAGAGUCCUGCGGGAGGCAGCAGUGGGGAAUUUUGGACAAUGGGCGCAAGCCGGAUCCAGCCAUGCCGAGUGCAGGAUGAAGGCCUUCGGGUUGUAAACUGCUUUUGUACGGGACGAAAAGACUCUGGUUAAUACCUGGGGUCCAUGACGGUACCGUAAGAAUAAGCACCGGCUAACUACGUGCCAGCAGCCGCAGUAAAAC
rnacentral:rRNA from 1 species